GAUGAACGCUGGCGGCGUGCCUAAUACAUGCAAGUCGAGCGAACGGACGAGAAGCUUGCUUCUCUGAUGUUAGCGGCGGACGGGUGAGUAACACAUGGAUAACCUACCUAUAAGACUGGGAUAACUUCGGGAAACCGGAGCUAAUACCGGAUAAUAUUUUGAACCGCAUGGUUCAAAAGUGAAAGACGGUCUUGCUGUCACUUAUAGAUGGAUCCGCGCUGCAUUGGCUAGUUGGUAAGGUAACGGCUUACCAAGGCAACGAUGCAUAGCCGACCUGAGAGGGUGAUCGGCCACACUGGAACUGAGACACGGUCCAGACUCCUACGGGAGGCAGCAGUAGGGAAUCUUCCGCAAUGGGCGAAAGCCUGACGGAGCAACGCCGCGUGAGUGAUGAAGGUCUUCGGAUCGUAAAACUCUGUUAUUAGGGAAGAACAUAUGUGUAAGUAACUGUGCACAUCUUGACGGUACCUAAUCAGAAAGCCACGGCUAACUACGUG
rnacentral:rRNA from 1 species